rnacentral:rRNA from 1 species
AGUGAGCGCUGGCGGUAGGCCUAACACAUGCAAGUCGAACGGCAGCACAGAGGAGCUUGCUCCUUGGGUGGCGAGUGGCGGACGGGUGAGGAAUACAUCGGAAUCUACUCUGUCGUGGGGGAUAACGUAGGGAAACUUACGCUAAUACCGCGUACGACCUACGGGUGAAAGCAGGGGAUCUUCGGACCUUGCGCGAUUGAAUGAGCCGAUGUCGGAUUAGCUAGUUGGCGGGGUAAGGGCCCACCAAGGCGACGAUCCGUAGCUGGUCUGAGAGGAUGAUCAGCCACACUGGAACUGAGACACGGUCCAGACUCCUACGGGAGGCAGCAGUGGGGAAUAUUGGACAAUGGGCGCAAGCCUGAUCCAGCCAUACCGCGUGGGUGAAGAAGGCCUUCGGGUUGUAAAGCCCUUUUGUUGGGAAAGAAAUCCAUCUGGUUAAUACCCGGGUGGGAUGACGGUACCCAAAGAAUAAGCACCGGCUAACUUCGUGCCAGCCGCCGCGGUAA